rnacentral:misc_RNA from 1 species
AACCUAGCACACCUGCGGUGUGUACCUGCGGAGGGAUCAUUACCGAGUUUACAACUCCCAAACCCAAUGUGAACGUUACCAAACUGUUGCCUCGGCGGGAUCUCUGCCCCGGGUGCGUCGCAGCCCCGGACCAAGGCGCCCGCCGGAGGACCAACCUAAAACUCUUUUUGUAUACCCCCUCGCGGGUUUUUUAUAAUCUGAGCCUUCUCGGCGCCUCUCGUAGGCGUUUCGAAAAUGAAU